CCAAAUAAUUAAUCAAUCACUUUUCGUUAUCACAAAGAUACGGCAGUUGUUUUAUUUUUUUUUUAUUUGUGGUUGAAUUGGCCCGAAAAAUAAAUGAGGCAUAAUUUUUCAAGAAAUAGAAGUGUUCCUUUUCAAUACCUGCGCAAAAUCCCAUAUAUAUGUAUAUAAUACAAAAGUAUCUUUUUUCUAACGUUGGGGAAAAAAAUUUAAAAAUAGGCGAUUAAUUAAUUAAUUAUAUUAUAAUGCCCACGACCCUGUUGAAUAUGUUAUAUCUAAAAUUACGAUAAUAAAAAUAAAUCUAUUUGAAUGCAAACAACGUAUCUUACGAAUACAGUUUAGUUAUUAGUGAGUACAGAAGUGUUUUGCGGUCUUGAAAUGCUACAGCUCAAUUUAUUAUUAGAGGUGAUAACAUGACACUUGAAAAGGACUUAAAUUUGGAUGUAGAGAAGGAACGAAAAGUAAGACUGUGCGUUGAAAAUUACUAUUUGGCGAUAUUUUCUUCAGAGAACGUUCGGGGUUGUCCUAAUAAAUUCGACGAGCACACUCUUCUUGUGAAAAUAAGAGCCGAUAAAGAUGAUCUAAGUCUAGUUUACAUUUAUGGUAUAAAAUCGGGACUGUAUUUGACCAUGGUUGGCGAAAAAGGACACGUUAAGGGUGUGAUUUUGAAAAGAUUUGAAACCCAGACCCGUAGCCACAAAUUUUAGGGGGUGGGAGGUGGGUGAAGGCUGAAUAGUAAAAAAUCAAACAAGGCUUCAAGUCAAAAACAUUUAAAAGCAGUUUAAUAAUUACAUUUGUGGCAUUUAAAAUGAGUAGUGAUGUGCAAAAUUGGUUUUGGUCUUGCAGUUUUCGUUUUGUGAAAAUGCAAAGCCAGGGCGAAAAUUUGAAGUUUUUGAACAAGACCAGGGCCAAAUUAAAUGAUGUUGUGAUAAUGAAGAUAAAUACAAUAUGGUUUAUGUAUAACGAUACACUAUUUUAGUGCAAUUAGAUGACAUUUUAACAGCAACAUAAUAUGGGGAUCUCAUUUAGGGCUUGCUCGAUUCCUAGACUUUCAAACCCUCUGGAUUAUUAUCAUUGGGGGGCCAUCCGAGAAU